UUCGAUCAAAACCCUAAAAUUUCUCUAGUUCUCUCUAUCGCUCACUGCCUCACUCUCUGUGUGUCCAACUCUCCAUUCUCUAACCCAGACGACCAAGAUGAUCAAAACCCAGACGAGCAAGACGAUCGCCCUCAAAGAUCGGAUGCAGCCCCGACAAGCAAGACCAUCACGUCUUCGAUUUGUGUUGGGCUGUUAGCCAUCUGCGAUUCGGUUGAUGCAUCCCCGUCUUCGACCUCCAUCAAUCCGUCUUCUUGAAGUCCGAGGCCGACCCGGAAAGCAGGUGCAGGCGUGUAGCUAUCGGAGUCCGAGAUCCGACAACUCUGCUCUGCCUCUAAAGAUAUCUUCUUGCAACAACCCAAUUUGUUAGAGCUUGAAGCAUCCAUCAAGAUUUGUGAUUCUGUGCAGCCAAAACUCUGAGACACUUGACUUUCAUUCUUCCGCCAUGGCUUCAACAAGGAGAAGCAUGUACCUAGAGCAGUAAACCCAGUUUUUAAAGGCCAGGAAAUAUUGAGGUUGUACAUACGCUUGCAGCUUGCUGCCUUUGAGAUCUACUUCCAUGUCCGCAACAUCUGCUAGCUCCUCUAACCCAUCUGCUUCCAGUGACGAACCAUCCGCUCGCAAUGACAUUGUGCUUGCAAGCAACAACCCCGCGGCAGAACAACCAAGAGCUGCUCCAUUGAGACUUUGAAUUGCUCGGUUUGAUGUUGAUUGUUGAUGUUGAUGUUGAUUGUUGAUGUUGAAUGUUGAUGUUGAUGUUGUACUAUUUCAAUUUUAGGUUUGUUUCAGUUUGAGACUUUGAAUUUCUAAUUUGUUAUGUUGAUGUUGAUUGUUGAAUAUGUAGAUUGUAGAUAAUGUUGAGUUUUA